rnacentral:miRNA from 1 species
UUAAGGACCCGAACUAAUUGU